rnacentral:rRNA from 1 species
AGUAACGCGUAGGUAACCUGCCUACUAGCGGGGGAUAACUAUUGGAAACGAUAGCUAAUACCGCAUAACAGCAUUUAACACAUGUUAGAUGCUUGAAAGGAGCAAUUGCUUCACUAGUAGAUGGACCUGCGUUGUAUUAGCUAGUUGGUGAGGUAACGGCUCACCAAGGCGACGAUACAUAGCCGACCUGAGAGGGUGAUCGGCCACACUGGGACUGAGACACGGCCCAGACUCCUACGGGAGGCAGCAGUAGGGAAUCUUCGGCAAUGGGGGCAACCCUGACCGAGCAACGCCGCGUGAGUGAAGAAGGUUUUCGGAUCGUAAAGCUCUGUUGUAAGAGAAGAACGUGUGUGAGAGUGGAAAGUUCACACAGUGACGGUAACUUACCAGAAAGGGACGGCUAACUACGUGCCAGCAGCCGCGGUAAUACGUAG